GCAGUAGCCACGGUAAUACAGAGGUCCCGAGCGUUGUUCGGAUUCACUGGGCGUAAAGGGUGUGUAGGAGGUUGGAUAAGUCAGGUGUGAAAUCCCGCAGCUCAACUGCGGAACUGCAUUCGAUACUGUUCAACUAGAGGAUCGGAGGGGGAAGCGGAAUUCUUGGUGUAGCGGUGAAAUGCGUAGAUAUCAAGAGGAACACCGGUGGCGAAGGCGGCUUCCUGGAAGAUACCUGACUCUGAAACACGAAAGCCAGGGGAGCGAAUGGGAUUAGAUACCCGGGUAGUCCCUGUCUCUUAUAC
rnacentral:rRNA from 1 species